CCUACGGGAGGCAGCAGUAGGGAAUUUUCGUCAAUGGGCGCAAGCCUGAACGAGCAAUGCCGCGUGAACGAGGAAGGUCUUCGGAUCGUAAAGUUCUGUUGAAGGGGAAAAAGAGCGGAGAGAGGAAAUGGUCUCCGAUUGAUAUUACCCUUCGAGGAAGUAACGGCUAACUACGUGCCAGCAGCCGCGGUAAUACGAAGGUGGCGAGCGUUAUCCGGAAUGAUUGGGCGUAAAGGGUGUGUAGGCGGCCUGCUAAGUCUGGAGUGAAAGGUACCGGCUCAACCGGUAUAGGCUCUGGAAACUGGCGGGCUAGAGAGCAGGAGAGGGCGGUGGAACUCCAUGUGUAGCGGUAAAAUGCGUAGAUAUAUGGAAGAACACCAGUGGCGAAGGCGGCCGCCUGGCCUGUUACUGACGCUGAGGCACGAAAGCGUGGGGAGCAAAUAGGAUUAGAUACCCGAGUAGUC
rnacentral:rRNA from 1 species